rnacentral:rRNA from 1 species
GAUGAACGCUGGCGGCGUGCCUAAUACAUGCAAGUCGAGCGAACGGACGAGAAGCUUGCCUCUCUGAUGUUAGCGGCGGACGUGUGAGUAACACGUGGAUAACCUCCCUAUAAGACUGGGAUAACUUCGGGAAACCGGCGCUAAUACCGGAUAAUAUUUUGAACCGCAUGGUUCACAAGUGAAAGACGGUCUUGCUGUCACUUAUAGAUGGAUCCGCGCUGCAUUAGCUAGUUGGUAAGGUAACGGCUUACCAAGGCAACGAUGCAUAGCCGACCUGAGGGGGUGAUCGGCCACACUGGAACUGAGAAACGGUCCAGACUCCUACGGGAGGCAGCAGUAGGGAAUCUUCCGCAAUGGGCGAAAGCCUGACGGAGCAACGCCGCGUGAGUGAUGAAGGUCUUCGGAUCGUAAAACUCUGUUAUUGGGGAAGAACAGAUGUGUAAGUAACUGUGCACAUCUUGACGGUACCUAAUCAGAAAGCCACGGCUAACUACGUG